AAGAAUGGCCAAAAUCCAAAACACUGACAACGCCAAAUGCCGGGGUGGGCGUGCGGCAACAGGAAGUCUCAUGCGUUGCUGGCGGAACUGCAAAACGGUGCAGCCACUUUGGGAGACAGUUUGGCAGUUUGUUACAAGGCUUAAAUGUACUUUCAUCAUACCAUCCAGCAACUGCCCGCCUCGAUAUUUACCUCGAUAAAUGAGUUGAAAACUUAUGUUCACACCAACACCUGCACACGAAUGUUUAGAGCAGUUUUAUUCACCGUCACUAAAAACUGGAAGCAACCAAGAUGUCUGCCUAGAGACUUUGAGUAAAGCCGAUGAUGUGCCAGUGUAUGGUGGGCCUCAGCCAAUCAGCUGAAGGCCUUAACAGAAAGAAGACUGAGAUCCCUGAGGAGGAAGGAAUUCUGCCAGCGACAGACUCGGGACUCACAAUGAGGCAUCAACUCUUCCCUGGGUCUCCAACCUGCCCUGAGGUUUUAGACUUGCUGCCUCCAUAAUUACACAGGCCAACUUUAAACAAUAAAUCCCUCUCUCUCCGCAUAUAUACCUAUCACACCCCAUUGGUUCUGUCUCUUUGGAGGACCAUGACCAGUACAGAUGGGCUCAGGGAAGGCAUCCCCAAGGGGAGGGUCCU
rnacentral:lncRNA from 1 species